rnacentral:misc_RNA from 1 species
AACGCACAUUGCGCCCCUUGGUAUUCCGAGGGGCAUGCCUGUUCGAGCGUCAUUACAACCCUCAAGCGCAGCUUGGUGUUGGGCUCCGCCGCUCGCGGCGGGCCUUAAAGUCAGUGGCGGUGCCGUCGGGCCCUGAGCGUAGUAAAUCUCCUCGCUACAGGGUCCCGGUGAACGCUGGCCAUCAACCCCCCACUCUCUCAGUUUGACCUCGGAUCAGGUAGGGAUACCCGCCGAACUUAA